UACGAGGGGGGCAAGCGUUGUUCGGAAUUAUUGGGCGUAAAGGGUGCGUAGGCGGUGCGGUAAGUCUGUUGUGAAAUCUCCGGGCUCAACUCGGAGUCUGCAUCAGAAACUGCCGUGCUGGAGUGUGGGAGAGGUGAGUGGAAUUCCCGGUGUAGCGGUGAAAUGCGUAGAGAUCGGGAGGAACACCUGCGGCGAAGGCGGCUACCUGGACCAGCACUGACACUGAGGCACGAAAGCGUGGGGAGCAAACAGG
rnacentral:rRNA from 1 species